ACAAAGGCUCUUUUCAGAGCCACCCAAUCUUCCAAGAGAAGAGCUGU
rfam:Buceros rhinoceros silvestris contig178303, whole genome shotgun sequence.